UACGGGGGGGGUAAGCGUUGUUCGGAAUUACUGGGCGUAAAGGGCUCGUAGGCGGCCAACUAAGUCAUACGUGAAAUCCCUCAGCUUAACUGGGGAACUGCGUGUGAUACUGGAUGGCUUGAGUGUGGGAGAGGGAUGCGGAAUUCCAGGUGUAGCGGUGAAAUGCGUAGAUAUCUGGAGGAACACCGGUGGCGAAGGCGGCAUCCUGGACCAUUACUGACGCUGAGGCACGAAAGCGUGGGUAGCAAACAGG
rnacentral:rRNA from 1 species